rnacentral:lncRNA from 13 species
AUCAUCAUCGUGGAGCAUGAUAUAAUGGAAAGAACCCGUCACCUGAGAGUCAGAAGGCCUUUGUUCCAUCCUGGAGCUGACAUAAACUUUCUAAGAAAACUUAAGGAGUUACUUUACCUCCCUAUGCCUCAGACCCUCUGGCACAUUCUUCCCUGGAUAGCGACUUUCUCAUUGAUCAUGCCCAGGGUGGACUCACUGUGGUUCUGCUUUCUGCAAGAUGGCUCCAGAGCCAGACAAAGGCAAAUUAGAGAAUAUUCUGAACCAAGGCUAGAAAUCUUUUACUGCCCUCCAUACUGA